ACUUAUUUAAUAUAAAAAGUAUAUUAAGCUUCCAACUUAAAUGUUUCAAAUGAAAAUAAGUA
rnacentral:tRNA from 1 species